GAUGAACGCUGGCGGCGUGCCUAAUACAUGCAAGUCGAGCGAAGAGGGGACAGGUGAGUAAAACGUGGAUAACAUCCUUUAAGACUGGGAUAACUUCGGGAAACCGGAGCUAAACCGGAUACUUAUACAUGGAUCCACGCUGCAUUAGCUAGUUGGUAAGGUAACGGCUUACCAAGGCAACGAUGAAUAGCCGGCCUGAGAGGGGGAUCGGCCACACUGGAACUGAGACACGCUCCAGACUCCUACGGGAGGCAGCAGUAGGGAAUCUUCCGCAAUGGGCGAAAGCCUGACGGAGCAAUGCCGCGUGAGUGAUGAAGGUCUUCGGAUCGUAAAACUCUGUUAUUAGGGAAGCGGUACCGAAUCAGAAAGCCACGGCUAACUACGUGCCAGCAGCCGCGGUAAUUC
rnacentral:rRNA from 1 species